GGGGGGGGGGGUUAAUCAGUCACAGAGGGAGCAUGCAGUGCUCAGCUGUGCUCUCACAUGGAAUUCCCUCUGUUUGCUCACAGAUAAAAAUGGAAAUUUGUUUGGGAUUGUAGGAUUUGACACAAUAUUCUUGUGUCUUUAAUGCCAUUACAUGCUCAUAUGAUCUGUUCCUUUUGGGAUGUAUUUGUUAUGCCAUUUCCUGUAGGAAGGACGGCUGCAGCAAACCCUGAAAAAGCAAGAGUGUGACAGCAUUUGAAUGGUUAACUCCCACCCUCUCUUCUUCUUUCCAGCUCUUCUUUUGAUCCCCAUUCCUCUGCUCUUGUAUUCAACGUCACACUGUGGCUUCAGCCAAUCACUGCCACUGUCCAGCCCCUUCACUGCUUCUUUACUCCACCCCCUGCCUUUGGCACAUUAUAUACCCACACGCAGUCCAGCUGGGAGAGUGUUCAACAUGCUGCUGCUGAUUCACAGUGCAGACUAUUAUAACACUGCACAGCAGAGAAAGAGAGGAGGACUGCACAGGGACUUCGGAUGUUUUGUUGCUGGCCAUGCUCCUUUUGCACGUAGGGAUGUUUUGUUGCUGGCCAUGCUCCUUUUGCACGUAGUUUCACAUCGGACUGUUUAGAUCUAGGCUUCAUCUCUUCUCAAGCCAGUACUGGAUUCGGAGUACAGUAGAGGAAGUUUCCACCUGGCUUCCAAUAGCCUCACUGGCUUCUAAUUUUUUAAAAAUGGGCUGUACCACAGGGCACCUGGCAUGCCAGCCCCAGCCUUCUUCAAACACCAACCAGGAGGGACAGACUCCGGAGGGGGCAGCCAAAGUCCCAGAGGUCCUGUCUUCUUUAGAGAAGCUUUCUCAGGCCACAGGGGGCAUGGAAAAAUCUUGGUAUCGCUGCAUCUUCCCCUUUGGAAUCAUCUCACUGGUAAUUGGUAUAGCUGGCACGAGCGUGACCUACACCUACAACGAUCUCCCACAGACCAAGGUGGUCUCUGUGGUCUUGCUGAUUGUCGGGCUGGUCCUGAUGGUAAUGGCUACUGCCUGUUGGACAACACAUAAGAAGAAACGCAGGAAAAAGAAAGCAGGAGAACCCUUUACCACUGAACCGUGUCCCCUGUGAGGAGAGACUACAAGGACGAAGAUGCUUUUGAUUGAGAACACAGGGAGUUGUGAUGCCACCUUGCCUUUUGUUUAGCAUUUCUUUUUGCCAAACUUCGGUCCAUGUAUUCACUCAGGUAGCAGCAGUGUGAACAUGGAAAAAGGACAGAUGGACAAUGUGUUCAGGACACCCAGGGAGCCAUGCAACCCAGUGGACAAGUAUGAGGGUUCGCACAUGGUUUACUGCCACUCAGCAAGUGUCUAGUGUCAAAACAACUCCAGAGCCACAUGCACAUUUAAGACACUUAACGCUUGGGCCGUAACACCAAGCCACUGCUGAAGUCAGUGCUGCCGUCAACACAGCCGUCAGUCCCCUGCAUUCCUGCCUUUGGGGUCAAAUGUCUCUCCAAGGCUAGCAAAGAAGUGAUCCAGAGAAGGCAACCAGACACCGCGACAAAAAGCAGAGCUGCAACCCCGUAAUCGUUGCACGUCAUUCCCCUGUCCUGUGACACUACAGCAAUGUGUGAGCUUUUUACGCAAUGGGAGAGUGGAACCUGAGCUGAGCCUCAACUAGUCCUUACUGAGAAUGAUAUUACUAAAGGAGAAAAAACACAAAAGGACACCAGAUGUCAUGACUUGCAUCCAGAGUUUACUUCACUCCUGUGCCUUGAGCAAGUGGGACUCAAGUGGCGUACAGUACCUUCUCACCGUUCUCUUUGGCCUUUUGCUCUUCAUAAACCUAUUGGCCAACAGCAGCUUUUCCAUUCAAGCUAAUCCUGAUUCUCAUGUCAUUUCUGUCUUAAGGGGUUACUUUCCAUCAGUCCCGUCUGCUGCCCUUCUCUUUCACACCCUGCUCAUAAACCCCCCAUUGCUCCAGUUCCAUAAACUGCCAUCAUUCUAGCAUUUCACAUCCAUCCCCAUGGCAGAAAUACCAAUCAUUACACCGUGUCUGGAAUUCUCUCCAUUUGAAGAAAGACCUUCACCCAGGUUGGUAGAUAAAUACCAAAUUAAUGAACUCUCUCUCUCUAUAUAUAUAUAUAUAUAUAUGUGUGUGUGUGUGUGUGUGUGUGUGUGUUUAUAAUUAUUAUUAUUAUGUUGGCUUUCCAUCACUAUUUAUUGUAUUUCACUUGGAUGAAUGAAUUGGUUUGUGAAAUAUUGUGAGUGUUGUUCAAUUGUUAAGCUCUGGUUGUAUACUGAGAACCUGUUUAUUCGUUAUGAUUGGUAGAGAAAGUAUUCAAGACAAGAAUGUUUUUCUGGGAUUAAAAAAAAGUGAAUAAUUUAUUAUUCAGGAUGAAACCGAUCCCAUGAGUUUAUUUAGUUUAUUUGACAAGUAAGAACCUCCUGGCCCAUUCAGCUAGAGAAAAGAUUGCAAGUAGAAAAAGGACACCAAUUUAGCAUCAAUGAAGAGAAACAGCACAUAGGGUAUACUUGAGAAGACAGUUGUUGAAGAAUAUCCGUUCAUCUGGCUUCAGUCAGAUUUUGUACAGUGGGAAUUCCCUUGAGUGUCUCCAUGAAACUAAUGACGGAUUGCAGUUGCAGUCAUAAACGUUCUUUAACACUGUCAUUUGCAGAACAAAUGGAUUUUUUAAAUUCUUUUUUUUUAUUAUGAAUGAUGUAUUUCAAGAAUGUCAAUAUCUAAAUGCUUACUGAAAGGUCUUUCUGUGAACCGAGAUUAAUUGGUAAAUAAUUCCUCCAUUUCUUUUUGAAAAGGAAAGGUGUGCCUUGUAAAAGACAUUGGGAAAAACAAUAUGCUCUGAUGGUGUUUUCAACAAUACAGAAUGCUGUUGCUGCAGGCUAUAGUGCAUCUCAGUUCAUUCGAACACCGCUUAAGUGAAAGGAAUUGUAGGGACCAGGUGCGGUAGUCAUGCAUAAGUGAUCAUUUUGAAGAAAUUAUAUAGACCAGUAAAUUAGGGGGAAGUGUUUACAAAGCAACAGCUGUGGUAUGAAAUUUAGGGAUGAGUAUGAAUUAAGCAGUCAUAAGAGCAUUAUCUUAAAACGUAGCUUGAUGGCUGCCUAAUUAUGACUGAAAGAUUGAGGGCCUCACGAGUAGUUGAUAUCAGUCUAACAAUCUCUUCUAUCUGUGCUAUGGGAGAUGACGCAGAGUAGCUGCCAGACAGUAAACAUGACAUGGUGAUCUUUUCCUGUGUGUAAAGUGCUCUGUUAAGUGUGGAAUUAUCAGCUGUGUGAAAGGCUAUUCCACUCGGGUCAUACCUUGGCCUACAUACUCCACAGGCAGGCAAGGUGAGAUAAAAAAAGAUAGAGGGGAAUACACAGCUGUAGAGAGCUGAGCAAUUUCAUUGAGGAAAAAACAGCGUGGAAGGAAACUGCUGAGUGCUUGGAAUGCAGAAAUAUUAGUUGUCAAGCAUCUAUAUGUAUCUCUCCCUCUCUCUGGUUCUAUCUCUGUCUCUUGAUAUGCGGCCGCCCACUCGUGCCCUACACAUAUCCCAGCCGUAUAUUCGUUCAUUCAGCUAUGGCUUUGCAAAUGCACUCUUGCGCUGUAUAUUCAUACCAGCGGCCAUGAUGCCAAGUUAUUAAUGACCGUUUUGUUUUCAAACCCUGCUUUAAUACACUGAGGAAAGAGUGUUGUGUAUGACAUCUUUAUUCUGCUGCUUUUUUUGGGGGGGGAGAAAAUCUACCUCUUUGUCUUUGGGGGUAUACUUUAUUGGAUUGGCCUGUGAUCUGUAAUGUAUUUAGCUAUGUAAAUACCAACUUAUAUAUAUUUAUAUAUUUAUACUCGUAUUUAAACACAUUUUGAAAUUGUAUUAAAGAAAUGUCAAUUGAGAUGGGCCUUUUUUUAUUAGGAUGCUACAAAUAAAAAGUAUGAAAUGUGGUUUAUUCAUUUAUUGUUAAUUAAAUCAUUUAACCUUUAAAUGAUGUGUUUCUCAAGCAUUUGUGCAUACAUCAGGUACAAUCACCAAUAAUGAUGUAAAACUAUCAAUACAUCUGGAGUUUGCAUGUCCUUCCUGUGGUGCGGUGGUUUCCUCCGGGUACUCCGGUUUCCUCCUCUGGUCCAUAGACAUGCAUGGUAGGCUGAUUGGCAUGUCCAAAGUGUCCGUAGUGUAUGAAUGUGUAUGUGAGUGUGCCCUGUGAUGGAUUGGCACCCCGUCCAGGGUGUACCCUGCCUUGUGCCCCAUGCUCCCUGGGAUAGGCUCCAGGUUCCCCGCCACCCUGUAAAAUAAGCGGUAUAGAGGAUGGAUGGAUUCAUUCAUUCAUUCAUUUUCAGUAACCACCUCAUCCUGGGCAAGGUCAUGCAAGGCACGGAUACAUCCUGGAUGGGACAGCAGACCAAUUCAAGGCACCACACAUGCAAACCCAUUCACAAUGAAGCGCAGUUAAGCAUAGCCAGUCCAUCUUGUUUUUUGGGAAGUGGGAGGAAACCGGACAAGCGUAUAGGAAAUCCACAUAGACACAGCAAGAACAUGUGAAACUCCCCACAGACAGUAAUCUGGGUUCAGGCUUGAAGUGGGGACCCUGUAGCUGUGAGGUGGCAAUGAUAUGAUAUAGACAAUUACAAAAUAAUAUUUUGUUGAAUUUUUAUAUUUUGUCAUAUAUUGUAGGCUAUGUAAUGCAGACUGUAGUACAAACUAUAGGCAAUAUUUUGCCUAUAGUUUGAUUAUAUUAAACACACUGUGAGCUACAUAUUACUCAACAUUAUUCCUAUUCCUAUGUCCAAUGUCCCCUGUCAGUGUUAAUGAAUUAUAUAACAAAAAUGCACAUUGUUUCUACGUUUUGUAUUUUGGUAUUGGUAACUUGCUUUUGAAAAAAAAAAAAGAAAAGAAAAAUUCUAAUUCCAAUACUAGGGAAAUAGGAUCUUAACUAAAAAAAAUGAGUUCCAAAAAAAAAAAAAUUAAAAAAAAUAAUGGACCUGUGGUAUACAUUUAAGUUUUUAUUAUUAUUUUUAUCUUAAAUAACUUUUAAGACCAGUUCAGGAAAGGCACGUUGUGCAUGUGUAAUACUCUCACCCUUCUGCUUUAUGAAGGCCUGAGCUAAAAAUACCUGUUGAGGAACCAUGUGAGGUAGAGAGUAAGAGAUCAAAACCUGAAAAAAACCUGGGUUUGUUUGAGGAUUAUUGUUGUGUAUACUGUGUAUAACUAUGCAUGUGAUGGCAAACAAAAGCUUCUGAAACAUUGUAAGGUUAGGAAAUAUUGAAAACUCAAUACCUCAAAAUUAAAUACCAAAAUACAUUUAGUAACAACAAUAAUAAUUAUAAUAACAAUAUAUUUUUUUCUUUUACCACUGUUUGUGUUCAUUGACUACAAUACAUUGUGUUUACUUUAUGACCAUCUCC
ensembl:lncRNA